ensembl:lincRNA
AAUAAUUAUUUUGAAAUCAAUAUUUUAGGAUUGAAUUGGUGUGUUCACACCUGAAAGAAAAUGUUCAAAGUCUCGAAAUGGAGAUUUUGAGCCAGACAAAGAAAAGGAAGAAAACAGCAGGAAAAGUUGAACAUGCUCAGAAACACUUGUCAAAUGACAGUUUGUUGACAGAAGCACAAGACCGAGAUACAAGCUCUGUGCAACACGACGAAAAAACGGAAGAACCCUUAGACAGAUCUGUGCAAACACUCACAUUGGAGAAUUUGCGCCUGAAAAAGGAAAAUCAAAAGCUAAGGGGUAAACUUGAACGAGCUCAGAAACACUUGUUGAGCAAUAGAUUGUCUGAAGAUGAGAAAGAACAGUUCUUCAAAUUCACUGAGCUGUUCAAAAGUGCAAUGUCUGAGGUGGAGCAAUUAAAGAAGGAAAAGCACGACCUGGAAUGUGCUUUGGAUGAAAUACAAAAGAAAAAUCGUGAACCUGAAUCAGAACUAGCAGGGACUCAAUGGACAACUUCACCUUCACCCUAGGCAAAGAUGAGAAGAAACCUCACCACUGGAUUACAGUGGGCCCAGCAGGACCACAUUGUGUGUGACUACCAUUGGAAGACCCUCUGCCUUGUGAUGAGUGUGCCACCACCAACUACAUGACAACCAAGGGAAAUGAAAUUUGUGCAGAAAGACCAUUCCUGGUGCCAUGACUGCUUCUGUGUCACCUGUGACCAUAUUCAGCUUCACUUUUCCUGAGAUUCCCUAGGUCUUGUCCAAGUCAAGCAGUGUUCAGAAGCUGCAGGAUUCAGAGGUUGCAAUUCAAAGCCCUGAUUUAUGUAUAGAAAUAAGAGGACUUCAUAGGUACAAGAAAAGCACUCUUUAGAAGACUUUGAACGGAAGAAACCUGAGUUUUCUGUAUGAGACUCACCUUGUUAGUUUACGUGGUUGCAGAAGGACCUGACUUCUCACCUGCCUCUGCCACGGUGGGCACAAGCAGGGGCACAGAUGUCCAGUGAUGGCCCCAAGGCAGGUCACCAGGGGGCAAAGUCUCCUGUCUCAAUGUCAUUCUGACCUUCUUAGUUGCACGGAGAGGGAUUUUGCUCACCACAAAACCCAAGCACGUACUUUUCUUGUGAAGCUCCUGUGCAGAUGGAAU